GAUAAGAACGUAGCGAAAUGCGAUAACUAAUGUGAAUUGCAGAAUUCAGUGAAUCAUCGAGUCUUUGAACGCACAUUGCGCCCCCUGGUAUUCCGGGGGGCAUGCCUGUCCGAGCGUCAUUGCUGCCCUCAAGCACGGCUUGUGUGUUGGGCUCCGUCCCCCCGGGGACGGGCCCGAAAGGCAGCGGCGGCACCGAGUCCGGUCCUCGAGCGUAUGGGGCUUUGUCACCCGCUCUGUAGGCCCGGCCGGCGCCAGCCGACAACCCAUCAUCCUUUUCAGGUUGACCUCGGAUCAGGUAGGGAUACCCGCUGAACUUAAGCAUAUCAAUAAGCGGAGGA
rnacentral:misc_RNA from 1 species